rnacentral:rRNA from 1 species
AUGGGCCUCCUCGACCAGCUCUGGGACGAGACGGUCGCCGGCCCACGGCCGGACCACGGCUUCAGCAAGCUCCGGAAAUACUCCUCCUUCUCGCCCUCGAGCCCGGCGGCCGCAGACGUCGCGCCGGCGGUGACCCGCAGCAUCACCAUCGCCCGGCCGCCGUCUCUCUCCCUCCCGUCCGGCGAGUCGAGCUCCGUGCCGUCCACCCCGGCCAGUGCGCCGGACUCCCCGUUCGCAGCAGGCACCGGUAGCACGCCGAGGGUGGACGGCUGGAGGGCGUUCCGCCGGAAAUCCAAGAUGGCCAACGUCGACGCCGUCCAGGCAGAGGCGACCGCCGGGCCCAGGAGCCCAACCGUGUACGACUGGGUGGUGAUCAGUUCAUUGGACCGAUAA